AUAAUUACCUGGACGGGGUCGAUGGGCGAUCAAUAAGGCCCAUGGCCUAGGUUGGUGAUCUCUAUUGCACUUUGGAGGGGUGCCCGCCUAAGGUCGGCUCAAGUGGUCGAACCUAUGUCAUAAUUUGUGGCAGCGGGGGCCUGCAUUCGCGCAGCUCCUAC
rnacentral:snRNA from 1 species